rnacentral:rRNA from 1 species
ACACUCCUGCGGGAGGCAGCAGUGGGGAAUAUUGGACAAUGGGCGCAAGCCUGAUCCAGCCAUGCCGCGUGAGUGAUGAAGGCCCUAGGGUUGUAAAGCUCUUUCACCGGUGAAGAUAAUGACGGUAACCGGAGAAGAAGCUCCGGCUAACUUCGUGCCAGCAGCCGCGGUAAUACGAAGGGGGCUAGCGUUGUUCGGAUUUACUGGGCGUAAAGCGCACGUAGGCGGACUAUUAAGUCAGGGGUGAAAUCCCGGGGCUCAACCCCGGAACUGCCUUUGAUACUGGUAGUCUUGAGUUCGAGAGAGGUGAGUGGAAUUCCGAGUGUAGAGGUGAAAUUCGUAAAUAUUCGGAGGAACACCAGUGGCGAAGGCGGCUCACUGGCUCGAUACUGACGCUGAGGUGCGAAAGCGUGGGGAGCAAACAGGAUUAGAUACCCGAGUAGUCC